rnacentral:rRNA from 1 species
UACGUAGGGGGCAAGCGUUGUCCGGAUUUAUUGGGCGUAAAGCGCUCGUAGGCGGUUUGUCGCGUCUGUCGUGAAAGUCCGGGGCUCAACUCCGGAUCUGCGGUGGGUACGGGCAGGCUAGAGUGAUGUAGGGGAGACUGGAAUUCCUGGUGUAGCGGUGAAAUGCGCAGAUAUCAGGAGGAACACCGAUGGCGAAGGCAGGUCUCUGGGCAUUAACUGACGCUGAGGAGCGAAAGCAUGGGGAGCGAACAGG